rnacentral:rRNA from 1 species
GGAUUAGAUACCCUGGUAGUCCACGCUGUAAACGAUGAUCACUCGUUGUUGGCGAUACACUGUCAGCGACUAAGCGAAAGCGCUAAGUGAUCCACCUGGGGAGUACGGUCGCAAGAUUGAAACUCAAAGGAAUUGACGGGGGCCCGCACAAGCGGUGGAGCAUGUGGUUUAAUUCGAUGAUACGCGAGGAACCUUACCAAGGCUUAAAUGCAAGAUGACUUUCUGGGAAACCAGAAUUUCCUUCGGGACAGCUUGCAAGGUGCUGCAUGGUUGUCGUCAGCUCGUGCUG